AUGGAGCCCAUCACCCAAGACAAACGUGUCUCUCAGGGCCAUAAUGGAGACCUAUACUUCUCCAACGUGAUGCUGCAGGACAUGCAGACCGACUACAGUUGCAACGCCCGCUUCCAUUUCACCCACACCAUCCAGCAGAAGAACCCUUUCACCCUCAAGGUCCUCACCACCCGAGGAGUUGCAGAAAGAACACCAAGCUUCAUGUAUCCCCAGGGCACCGCGAGCAGCCAGAUGGUGCUUCGUGGCAUGGACCUCCUGCUGGAAUGCAUCGCCUCCGGGGUGUAUGUGCAGUUUGCAACCCCUCUUCUAGCCACCCUCCAGGAGGAUGAGGAUGGGAGCUUGUUAAUGCCACAUUUAGUGCAUACCAGUAGCACAGCAAAAAGAGAAGCAAACAGCCCCUAGUGAGCAGGGUGUUGCAAACCAUAGUCAUCUCCAUCCUAUUCUGGCCAUCUCCGUUUUGGAUAAUGAGGAAAGAAGGUGAUUAGGCAUCCCGUAUAUGCGUUAGAAUCUCGUGGGACCUUAGCUAAGCCUUCAGGCUCUCUGUGGCUGAGCAUCCUCCUCGGUACAGGAAAGGUCAGCUUUUAGAGGACAUGCAUCCUCCUGGGCCCAAGUAUACUUUUAGGCCACCUGGGUGUCCCCAGCUGUAUAGAAGAGGAGAAAGGCCACGUUUAGUGAUAACUUCUUUGUUUCCUGCUUGGCACUUCUCCUAGCCCAACACCAGACAUCGCAUGGUACAAG
rnacentral:sRNA from 1 species